rnacentral:rRNA from 1 species
CCUACGGGAGGCAGCAGUAGGGAAUAUUGCUCAAUGGGGGAAACCCUGAAGCAGCAACGCCGCGUGGAGGAUGAAGGUUUUCGGAUUUUAAACUCCUUUUGUUAGAGAAGAUAAUGACGGUAUCUAACGAAUAAGCACCGGCUAACUCCGUGCCAGCAGCCGCGGUAAUACGGAGGGUGCAAGCGUUACUCGGAAUCACUGGGCGUAAAGAGCGCGUAGGCGGGAUAGCAAGUCAGAUGUGAAAUCCUAUGGCUUAACCAUAGAACUGCAUUUGAAACUGUUAUUCUAGAGUAUGCGUGAGGUAGGUGGAAUUCUUGGUGUAGGGGUAAAAUCCGUAGAGAUCAAGAGGAAUACUGAUUGCGAAGGCGACCUGCUAGAACAUAACGGACGCUGAUGCGCGAAAGCGUGGGGAGCAAACAGGAUUAGAUACCCGAGUAGUC